rnacentral:rRNA from 1 species
UGGGGGAUAUUGCACAAUGGGCGAAAGCCUGAUGCAGCGACGCCGCGUGGGGGAUGAAGGCCUUCGGGUUGUAAACUUCUUUUGCUCUGAACAAGGCAUGCCUUCGGGGUGUGUUGAGUGUAGGGGUUGAUUAGCGCCGGCUAACUACGUGCCAGCAGCCGCGGUAAUACGUAGGGCGCGAGCGUUGUCCGGAAUUAUUGGGCGUAAAGGGCUUGUAGGUGGCUGGUUGCGUCUGUCGUGAAAGCUCAUGGCUUAACUGUGGGUUUGCGGUGGGUACGGGCUGGCUUGAGUGCAGUAGGGGAGGCUGGAAUUCCUGGUGUAGCGGUGGAAUGCGCAGAUAUCAGGAGGAAUACCGGUGGCGAAGGCGGGUCUCUGGGCUGUUACUGACGCUGAGGAGCGAAAGCGUGGGGAGCGAACAGG